rnacentral:lncRNA from 1 species
AAAAUUUUGGACAGUAGUGCCAUCUGGGGCUUCUGUGUCUUCGCCUAUGAAGGAAAGGUUCCAGUAGCUCAGAGACUACCUCAUUCCCCCAUUCCAAAAAACAAACUUUAUUAAUUCAUCUUCCCUGUGUUCAUUAAUCACAGACUGGGAUGCAAGUGCCCAUCAGGGCUCUGGAUCAGUGUGAGAAGGCCAGCGUGACCACACGACACUGGUAAAUUUCUACACAGAAGCAAAGAAACGCAUUUUAGGUCACCCAAUCUGUCUUAUCUCUGGGAAACAGCUGCUUCUCAUUGAUUCUUUUUUGAAAAACAAAACAAAAAUUGGAGGAACCCCAUUCCUGUCUUCAAGUAUAUCUGGGAGCUUAAGACCCCACAUUAGAAACCAUGAGGCCGAAUAAUCUGGAAGAUGGCUCCCACAUUGAGGGAUAUACAAAAUCUGCUGAUUUUAACCCCCAACCUUCUGCCUGGACGCCUGCCCACAGCUGGCCCUCUCCUCCUCUCUGAAGCCUAUCUGCUCUUUUUUUUUUUUUUUCCUACCUCUUCUGCCUGAGGCCUUCAAGUUAUUCCUCUCCCUUUCCUGACCCAAAGCACAGUUUUCACAGGUGACAAAGGUGAUGAGCUCUGAAGUGAGUAUAUCUUCCUGGGAUGACAGUUUCAUGGGCACAUCCUCAAUAUACACAUUUACUUGCUCCACCAGAAGUCACCAAGAGUCUUCCAAGUGCCAGACCCAUUCCAGGUAUAGGGAUAUAGCAAAGAGCAAACUCAGAACCUCCCACACUCAAGCACUUAUUUCCAAUCCAGGUGGUAGAUAUACACAUAGGCACACACAUGGCACACAAAGAUAGGCCCCCUGACUCAAGCAUCUUUCAGACAAUGAAAUGUAAACUCCAAGUUAGGGUCAAAGUGGAAGGGCUGCUGCAUCCUCUUGUGCAUCAUAGGAAU